rnacentral:pre_miRNA from 1 species
UGAUGAUGAUGAUGAUGAUGAUGAUGAUGAUGAUGAUGAUGAUGAUGAUUCCGACUUAUUCUUGCGUUGGGGAUAAGCCGAGAUUAUCGCGUCAUACAUGAUAUUGCUCAUUUAAGCGAUUGAAAUGACGUCAUCAUCCUCCUCAUCAUCCUCAUAGUUAUCAUCAUCAUCAUCGUCAUCA